rnacentral:rRNA from 1 species
UACGUAGGUCCCGAGCGUUGUCCGGAUUUAUUGGGCGUAAAGCGAGCGCAGGUGGUUUAUUAAGUCUAGUGUAAAAGGCAGUGGCUCAACCAUUGUAUGCAUUGGAAACCGGUAGACUUGAGUGCAGGAGAGGAGAGUGGAAUUCCAUGUGUAGCGGUGAAAUGCGUAGAUAUAUGGAGGAACACCGGUGGCGAAAGCGGCUCUCUGGCCUGUAACUGACACUGAGGCUCGAAAGCGUGGGGAGCAAACAGG